CUGCAUCGUCUCUUUGGCAUCUUUAGAGAUCUUGGCGUUGGCGGGCAAGGCCUUCUUCAUGAUCCGGCUGACGUUAGCGAUCGGCAAGAACCUGUCUUGCUCUCUUGGAGACAAGGAGGACUGUCCGUUCUGGUUGUUCCCGUUUUGCCCUCCACCGGAAUCCCUGUCGGAAUCCCCCAUUUCUGAAAAUUACAAGGAAUAAAAAAAUAAACUUUACUCUUUUUUCAAAUCAUUUCCAUCAAUGAUUCGAAAUCGAAUUCAAUUGGUGGUUGACUUGAGUGGGAAGACUGAAGCGAGAAAAUUUAGGGUUUUAGAAAGAGUAAAAAGAGCAGGUGUGAAUUGUUAAGUGUCGGCUGGUAUUGUACACAGUGGUGAAGGAGUCGCCGGAGCUUAUAUAAAGAGAGGACGCACGACUUCUGCUCACUUGACACGUGAUCUUAU